rnacentral:rRNA from 1 species
CCUACGGGAGGCAGCAGUGAGGAAUAUUGGUCAAUGGGCGGGAGCCUGAACCAGCCAAGCCGCGUGAGGGAAGACGGUACUAUGUAUUGUAAACCUCUUUUGUCGGGGAACAAAAGCCGGGACUAGUCCCGGGCUGAGGGUACCCGAAGAAAAAGCAUCGGCUAACUCCGUGCCAGCAGCCGCGGUAAUACGGAGGAUGCGAGCGUUAUCCGGAUUUAUUGGGUUUAAAGGGUGCGCAGGCGGCAUGUUAAGUCAGCGGUAAAAUUGCGGGGCUCAACCCCGUCGAGCCGUUGAAACUGGCAGGCUGGAGUUGGAGAGAAGUACGCGGAAUGCGUGGUGUAGCGGUGAAAUGCAUAGAUAUCGCGCAGAACCCCGAUUGCGAAGGCAGCGUACCGGCGCCACACUGACGCUGAGGCACGAAAGCGUGGGUAUCGAACAGGAUUAGAUACCCGUGUAGUC